AUAGUACUCCCUCCGUCCGAAAAUAUUUGUCGAAGAAAUUGGUGUAUCCAGACAUAUUUAGUUCUAGAUACAUUCAUUUUUAUUUAUUUCUCUGACAAUUAUUUCCAGACGGAGGGAGUACUUC
rfam:Triticum urartu cultivar G1812 contig86671, whole genome shotgun sequence.